UUUCCCAUGGCUCAGUCAGUAGAGCAUUGCGCUAGCAACACAAAGGUUGUGGGUUCAAACCCCCGGGGAAAG